UUGAUCCUUCAGGGCAGGGUGUAAUUCCCUACCGGCGGUGAUGUCACUGUUCAAUGGCUGUUACAGCCUUAACGUGCUUAGUCCGCUACCCGCGCUGUAUCUUGUGAUACAGACGGUGGACCCGGUGCAAUUCCGGGACCGACAGUAUAGUCUGGAUGGAAGAAGGAGAGA
rnacentral:ncRNA from 2 species